AUUUAUGUAGUUUAAUAAAAAACAAUUCAUUUUCAAUGAAUAAAUAAAUUUAAUUUCAUAAAUA
rnacentral:tRNA from 1 species